ensembl:lncRNA
GGUGAGGUCCAGUAGAGUCAGUCUGGUGAGGUCCAGUAGUCAGUCUGGUGAGGUCCAGUAGAGUCAGUCUGGUGAGGUCCAGUAGAGUCAGUCUGGUGAGGUCCAGUAAUCAGUCUGGUGAGGUCCAGUAAUCAGUCUGGUGAGGUCCAGUAGAGUCAGUCUGGUGAGGUCCAGUAGAGUCAGUCUGGUGAGGUCCAGUAGAGUCAGUCUGGUGAGGUCCAGUAGAGUCAGUCUGGUGAGGUCCAGUCCAGAGAGCUUUCUCCUUUCUGUGAUCGCUGCUGGAUUGUAUUAUGAUAUUAUUUUCCCACUGUCACUUUCUCUGUGUGUGUG